UACGAAGGGUGCAAGCGUUACUCGGAAUUACUGGGCGUAAAGCGUGCGUAGGUGGUUUGUUAAGUCUGUUGUGAAAGCCCCGGGCUCAACCUGGGAAUGGCAAUGGAUACUGGCAGGCUAGAGUGCGGUAGAGGGUAGUGGAAUUCCCGGUGUAGCGGUGAAAUGCGUAGAGAUCCGGAGGAACACCAGUGGCGCAGGCGGCUCUCUGGGUCGGCCCUGACGCUGAGGCGCGAAAGCGUGGGGAGCGAACGGG
rnacentral:rRNA from 1 species